UGACGUGGCCAAUUAUGAUCCACAAAGAGUGCUGAUUUUUUGUUGACUGGUAAGUCUCUGUUAAUUGUAAGUUUUGUGCCGUGAUGGUAAAAUGAGGAGGGGUUUCUAGUAUUUUCCCUGCGGAAAUAUCUCCGAACCCAGGUUCGUAUUGAAGUCAUUUGCCUCGCUAAUCUGUCAUUCGAGUUAUCUCUUCCCCUUAACGGAAGCUGAUUAAAAGCAGAGAGAGAGAGAGAGAGCAAACCAAUCCCGGCACCAAUCAGCCUAAUUACCUCCGACUCUGGGUCUCUCAUUCUUGUUAUCCGGAUGGUUUUGAUUAUUGUCAUUCAGUUUGAUUUUGGAUGGUUUGGCAGCUGUGUUGGUAAGUCGAUGACGGCAAUUUGUAGGCGGCAAUGGACACUCGGACCCCGAAAACCUCACCUCACCUCACCACCAGAGCACAAUUUCGUCUAUACAGGAUGGUCCGGAAUCUCCAAAAUCUCCAAUAGCAAAGUCUCCAUCCCAGAACUCUCUUCGUAAUGCUAGUCUCGUUGCCAAAAGGAAAAUGUUUGCUGAGUCCCAGGUUGGAAGUUCCAGUUUCCAUAAGCUUUUGGAGCCAAAGCCCACUCAGAGAUCUGCAAUUACUCCUUAUAGAAUUGUUCUUGGUAAUAUAAAAAGACAAGGUAUGUUUAUUUGCUUUGAAUAUGUCAAGCAAGUUGUUGUUAGCGGAUACAUAGCUAAGCUUGAUUGGUUUAUAUUUUUGUGAUGCUGGUUUGGGGUGGUACCACCCUUUUUCUGGAACAGCUUGUUUAUUCUGACAAUGUUUGCUUGUUUAGAAGAUUGAUUGAAAGGGAAUGAUUAUACAGUCAUUUGUUUUUGUUAUGUUACUUAUGCAUGUGUUGUCACACCCCAAACCCGGGGGUGUGACUUAAGGGGUUCUCAAGUAAGAGAAAUUUAGAAAAAGACCAAAUUUGACACAAUUGAAGUGUAACCUUAAGGCAGCAACAGUUCAGCCUAGGGGAUUUUGAAAAUGAACCGUUUGAACUCUUUCGUAACUAUGAUCUUGUGCUUUACACAUUGAUUGAGAUUACUUGAUAUUCUCAUCGAAGUAUUGGUUUUGGGUUUUCAAAUUCCGAUACAUACUUUUAUUACUAUAAGCUGACAAAGAGUUCUGGGUAAUCAUGUCUACUGCAUUGGAACUAAUAAGUUUGACAAAGAGUAUAGUCCAGUAAAGACUUGACUUUAAAGUUUUAGAGUUCUGUGAAGCAUCCCUGAUGGUUAUUCACUUUUAUUUUCUUUGCUCCUCAGAUAUGUUUCCAAAUGACACCAAACUUAAUUAGUGAGAAUGCUUGUCCGGUUGUCCUCUUUAAAUUGAGAUGGUUCUUGGAGACUCCUCCCUGUUCAUUGCUUACAUCAGAUUUGUAUCAUCACUUUUCCAUCCAAGAAAAUUGGUAUCAGAGCUCAAGUAGUAGAUUUAAUUAGGUAGUGUCUAAGUGUGUUAUAUAGUCUAGUGACCAUUGCAGCUUUUGUGCUUGGGUAAUGAAUUUAACUUUGUUGAGGGUCAGUUGCUAGAUUCAUGAUUUCAGUUUGAUUGAGUUAAUUUAUAUGAUUGUGUAUCAUCUGUUCAGAUAGUGAAAGUGUUGCAUAAAGACACCAUUUGGCUUUUGAAAUCUCUAGUUAUAUCUCAGCAUAAUUUUUGGUUAUUAUUUUGAUUCAUCCUUCAAUAUUGAUUUCAGCUGAGCUGUGUUUUCUUUAAAAUUGGACAUUCCAACACUUUCUCCAAACAAGUUUCGUCCAAAACAAAAUAAAUUUGAACCCGUAGCUCCUUCCAAAAGAAAAGUCAGUCAGCUGGAAUUUUGCAAAAACUGCCCUGCAGCAUAACCCUCUUCGGUAUUUCUGUUUCUCAACUUAUUGGCCUCCAAAUAUUCUGAAAUUUUGACAUAUUUCUUUUCUGUUGGUUAACAAAGGAUCUGGAAAGUUUCGUCUUAUUUCGAUGUGUAGUGAAUUUUCAGUGAUUUUUCCAAAUUUGGUCUGCAUUUGGAAAAGUUCCAGCACUCUAAAUGUCUCCUUUGAUUUUCUGUUGAGAUUUGAACUUCCACUUGAAUUAUUUAACCUCUGGUUUUUAUGUAUAUUGAACCAUAUUUCCCAAUGCUCGUUUCAAAACUGAUUUCUUGUCAUUUGGACUUACAAUGAAUUUUUUGGUGGCCUUUGCUGCUGCAAUAUUUUUCUAAAACCUGGCAGUUCAGUCUAUCUGCAUCCUUCCUUCUCGAACUCCGAUUUGCUUGCAAAUUUAGGAUGUCUUUCUUUACCAUGGUUACUUUUAGUCUGGAAAGUUUCAAGUUCAUUGCUGCAGAAAUGAAGUUUUAGUAAAUCUUCAAAGUUAAGUUGUUCAUGCCUUAACUCUCCAGCCCACUUAUGUCUCCCUUUCAUUAUAACUCUAUUGCAUCAGCUUUCAGUUCUUCAUCUACAGUUUUCAAGUUCAGAUAAUGUAUUUGUUGCUUGAUUAACAUAUAGUUUCAUUUGGUUUAAUGUUACUUACAUUUCUUUCUUCAAAUCAAAGUCCAUCCCGACGUACUUCAUACUUUUAGGCUAAGAUUGUAUCGAUCUUGGUCUUAUUCACAUUUGCUCUUACUUGAGAACCCCUUAACUCAUACCCCAAGUUUGGGGUUGUGACAUGUGUAUGUUCUGUGGGUACAGCUUAUGAAGACACGAAGACAAUUGGAGCUUCUUCUAGAGGAUCUUCCUUGCGAUUUUAAUCUAUCGGAGUAUUAUGACACAUCAGAUGAACUUAUACAAUCAUGUGGAUCUGGGAUCCUAGCUGAUGGUCGGCUUGCUGAUUUGAUCCGAAGAGUUGCUACGUUUGGGAUGGUAUUAAUGAAAGCUCGACUUGCGCCAGAUGUGCUUUUAUUUUAUUAUAGAAGAAGUUGCUACCCCAGGCUGAGCUUGGCUUCCUCAACAUAGGAAGCCGCCCCUCAAGAAGAAAGAGCUCUGCUGGAAUUGGACAUCUUCGGGCAAUUCCAUGGGUGUUUGCAUGGACUCAAACCAGAUUUGUCUUCCAGCUUGGCUUGGAGUUAAACCCCUUGUUGAUCUUUUUGAGAGCAUCAAACACACCAGCCAUAAAGAUGUAUGAGAAGAGUCCCAUAUUGAAUCUGUCAUUCUUGCCAAGAUUAUAGGACCUAUGCAGCCGUACUUCCUAAUUCCAAUCUCUACCUCAUGUUUUACGUUCUUUUUUUACCAAGCUUUGUCGUUGUGACUAGGGAAAUGUUUUGUUGGCAGGCCAUCCCUUGGAUGAGAAAUUAUAAUGGUGUAUGGGUGCUAUAUUUUUACAUUUAGACUCAUGAAGAUCUAUCAGUGAUUGUCAUCCUUUCCAAAGGUUUCUUUUAGGGGAUGUUUCUGUGGAAUCUGACAAAAGAAGAGAAUUGUUUUCAACACUCUCAAGUUCGACAAUGUGAUGCUUAGAAGCACAAAAUUGGUUCAUAGCUCAAGUGGUGACUUAGAAUGAUUUAUUGGGAAAUUCUUUACAUUCCUAUAAAAGGCUUUUAUUUCGAGCAGUAAAACAUUACAAAAUUGUCAUGAUGUAAUUUGGUCGGAAUUUGCUUUCUCAAAAUUUGCUUUUGGAUUGGAGUAGUUUAUCAUACAUCAGAUGCAUCCCAA